AUUGAACGCUGGCGGCAGGCCUAACAAAUGCAAUGCGAGCGAGCGGCGGACGGGUGAGUAAUGUAUGGGGACUGCCCGAUAGAGGGGGAUAAGUACUGGAAACGGUGGCUACUACCGCAUACUAUGGGAUAACCCAAAUGGGCUUAGCUAGGAGGUGGGGUAAAGGCUCACCUGGGCGACGAUCUCUAGAUGGUAUGAGAGGAUGAUCAGCUAAACUGGGGUGCAGAACUGGCCCAGAUUCCGACGGAGGCAGAAGUGGGGAAUAUGGCACAAUGGGCGCAAGCCUGAUGCAGCCAUGCCGCGUGUAUGAAUAAGGCCUUAGGGUUGUAAAGGACUUUCAGCGGGGAGGCGUUACCCGCAGAAGAAGCACCGGCUAACUCCGUGCCAGCAGCCGCGGUAAUUC
rnacentral:rRNA from 1 species